AGAGUUUGAUCCUGGCUCAGGAUGAACGCUGGCGGCGUGCAUAACACAUUCAAGUCGAACGGGACUUAGAGGGCUUGCCCUUAAGUUUAGUGGCGGACGGGUGAGUAACGCGUGAGUAACCUACCUACAUGAGAGGGAUAACACAGGGAAACUUGUGCUAAUACCACAUAACAUACUGAAUUCGCAUGUAUUUAGUAUCAAAGAGCAAUCGCAUAUAGAUGGACUCGCGUCUGAUUAGAUAGUUGGUGAGGUAACGGCCCACCAAGUCUGCGAUCAGUAGCCGAACUGAGAGGUUGAACGGCCACAUUGGAACUGAGAAACGGUCCAGACUCCUACGGGAGGCAGCAGUGGGGAAUAUUGGGCAAUGGACGAAAGUCUGAACCCCAGCGACGCCGCGUGAGGGAAGAAGGUCUUCGGAUUGUAAACCUCUGUUGAUAGGGAAGAAGCAAGUGACGGUACCUAUCGAGGAAGCCACGGCUAACUACGUGCCAGCCGCCGC
rnacentral:rRNA from 1 species